UCCGGUGUAGCUCAGUUGGUAGAGCAGCUGACUGUUAAUCAGCGGGUCACAGGUUCAAGUCCUGUCACCGGAG
rnacentral:tRNA from 1 species